rnacentral:rRNA from 1 species
UUGCUUCUAUGACGUUAGCGGCGGACGGGAUGAGUAACACGUGGGCAACCUGCCUGUAAGACUGGGAUAACUUCGGGAAACCGAAGCUAAUACCGGAUAGGAUCUUCUCCUUCAUGGGAGAUGAUUGAAAGAUGGUUUCGGCUGUCACUUACAGAUGGGCCCGCGGUGCAUUAGCUAGUUGGUGAGGUAACGGCUCACCAUGGCGACGAUGCAUAGCCGACCUGAGAGGGUGAUCGGCCACACUGGGACUGAGACACGGCCCAGACUCCUACGGGAGGCAGCAGUAGGGAAUCUUCCGCAAUGGACGAAAGUCUGACGGAGCAUCGCCGCGGGAGUGAUGAAGGCUUUCGGGUCGUAAAACUCUGUUGUUAGGGAAGAACAAGUACGAGAGUAACUGCUUGUACCUUGACGGUACCUAACCAGAAAGCCACGGCUAACUACGUGCCAGCA